AUCAGUGUUUGUCUUUGUGCCACUUACAGGUUUCACCAUAAACAGCAGAAAUGAGAAUGCAACAGUGAACAAUUCCCAGGGAAGAUCAACAUUUUCCUUUAUGAUCCUAUAAAUCUGAAAUUUAAAUGGUACAAUGAUGACGAUGUAACAACUGAAAUGGACUUCACAAGAAUACGGUUCUGAGAAACGUUCACAAGAGGAGGAGAUAAAAAGGAAGAAAAAAAUGAAGGGCA